AUGGAAGGUUGGAGAAAAACGAAUAUAUAUAGAGAGAGCAGGGUUAUUGUGCUCUUAGGAAUAUGGAGGCCUUCGUGCUGCUGAGCUGUUUUCGAUGAUAGAAUUUUUGAAUCGACAAUUGACUCCGUUAGACUUCAUCUAGCAUAUUUGAAAUAUCUAAAAAAUAAAUUUUGUAAUUUUUUGAUAUCAUUUACCUAGUGAUUAAAAUGGUUCAAAAUCAACAACUGAAAAUAAAAAUCUCGCAGAAAAUAAUGAUAUAAUAUUAAAAUUUUCGAUCAAAAAUAUUGAUCUUAUUGUAGAUAAUAUAAAAAAAAUAUAUCAAAAUUUCACCUCAUUUGAGUACUUCGACACCGUUAAACUUUUUUUUUUUUAUUAAAUAGGGAUGUACCCUAUUUGAUAAAGGCGAUACAGGAAGAAAACACAUAGACUUGCUCAGCUUUGAUCAGUGAGCAAGGUAUAGAGGGUACAAGUGUAAAACUUAAAAACAGCUGACAACAAUUAUUGAAAAUUAUUGAUUUUGAAUCCUUUCGAUAGUUAAGUAAAUGACGUCGAAAAAUCGUAAAAUUUAUUUUUUAAAUACUUCAAAUAUGCUAGAUCAAAUAUAAUGGAGCUGAUCGUCGAUUCGAAAAUUCUAUCAUCGAAAAUAGGUUAGAAGCACUGAGGCCUUUGUGCUCCUAAGAGCUAAACAAUCCUGCUCUCUCUCUCUCUCUCUCUCUCUCUCUCUCUCUCUCUCUCUCUC
rnacentral:lncRNA from 1 species